rnacentral:rRNA from 1 species
ACAGGUGCUGCAUGGCUGUCGUCAGCUCGUGUCGUGAGAUGUUGGGUUAAGUCCCGCAACGAGCGCAACCCUUGCCUUAGUUGCCAGCAGUUCGGCUGGGCACUCUAAAGGGACUGCCGGUGUUAAACCGGAGGAAGGUGGGGAUGACGUCAAGUCCUCAUGGCCUUUAUGACCAGGGCUACACACGUACUACAAUGGCCGAUACAAAGGGCAGCGACACUGCGAGGUGAAGCCAAUCCCGUAAAAUCGGUCUCAGUCCGGAUUGGAGUCUGCAACUCGACUCCAUGAAGUUGGAAUCGCUAGUAAUCGUGGAUCAGCAUGCCACGGUGAAUACGUUCCCGGGCCUU